ensembl:lncRNA
GGUUCUGCUUCUUUUACUGCAAUUUUAUUGCAGUGGUGAUAAUGAGACCUAUUAACGUAUCACAAGCCUCUUCAAUAUUAGAAAAGACGAAGGAAUAAAUAGCUAUGUACUUGCUAUAUUUAACUUCUAGGGUCCUAAAGUAAAUUGCUUGAGAAGACUGGAUCCCGGAGAUUACAAAUUUGAAUUUGGAAUUUUGAAGUGUGUCCGUAUUCCACUGGAGAUCAAAGACGCUGAACCAAAAGAACUGUGAACUGGCCGACAUGACAGCCGUGGACUGGGCCAAGCUUCUUUUUGAGAGGGCAGCUUAGCUCGAUGAUUAUGACUUUGGUGGAACUAAGGAAAAAAAAGAAAGGACAGUGGUGUGGAAAUGGACUACAGGCUCCUCCGUCUGUGGAAUUCUCCAGGCAAGAAUACUGGAGUGGGUUGCCAUGCUCUCCUCCAGGGCCUCUUCCCAACCCAGGGAUUGAACCCACAUCUCUUGCAUCUCCUGCAUUGGCAGGCAGGUUCUUUACCACUGAGCCACCUGGAAAACCCAAUAAAAAUGCAGGUAAGCAGGCUAAUCUGGACGUUACAGACUGACACCCUGCAGAGCCCAGGGCUGCAGGGGUGCCUCAUUUGGCCCUGCAAGUGUAUAUUUGUCAUAAUAACAACUGUCUCUUCACAUCCCCACUUCUCUACUCAGUACUGCCUCACACCUGGCCCACUGUAUGCAUUCACGAUGCUCUCUGCCC